ensembl:snRNA U6 U6 spliceosomal RNA
AGGCUCACCCCAGCAGCAAGUAUACUAAAUGUGAAAUGGUACAGAGAACAUUAGCAUGAAGCUGUACAAGGAUGGCACACAAAUUCACAAAGUGUUUCAUAUUUCU